rnacentral:rRNA from 1 species
GCGAUACAGGGUGACAGCCCCGUACACAAAAAUGCACAUAUUGUGAGCUCGAUGAGUAGGGCGGGACACGUGGUAUCCUGUCUGAAUAUGGGGGGACCAUCCUCCAAGGCUAAAUACUCCUGACUGACCGAUAGUGAACCAGUACCGUGAGGGAAAGGCGAAAAGAACCCCGGCGAGGGGAGUGAAAAAGAACCUGAAACCGUGUACGUACAAGCAGUGGGAGCCUCUUAAUGGGGUGACUGCGUACCUUUUGUAUAAUGGGUCAGCGACUUAUAUUCUGUAGCAAGGUUAACCGAAUAGGGGAGCCGAAGGGAAACCGAGUCUUAACUGGGCGUUAAGUUGCAGGGUAUAGACCCGAAACCCGGUGAUCUAGCCAUGGGCAGGUUGAAGGUUGGGUAACACUAACUGGAGGACCGAACCGACUAAUGUUGAAAAAUUAGCGGAUGACUUGUGGCUGGGGGUGAAAGGCCAAUCAAACCGGGAGAUAGCUGGUUCUCCCCGAAAGCUAUUUAGGUAGCGCCUCGUGAAUUCAUCUCCGGGGGUAGAGCACUGUUUCGGCAAGGGGGUCAUCCCGACUUACCAACCCGAUGCAAACUGCGAAUACCGGAGAAUGUUAUCACGGGAGACACACGGCGGGUGCUAACGUCCGUCGUGAAGAGGGAAACAACCCAGACCGCCAGCUAAGGUCCCAAAGUCAUGGUUAAGUGGGAAACGAUGUGGGAAGGCCCAGACAGCCAGGAUGUUGGCUUAGAAGCAGCCAUCAUUUAAAGAAAGCGUAAUAGCUCACUGGUCGAGUCGGCCUGCGCGGAAGAUGUAACGGGGCUAAACCAUGCACCGAAGCUGCGGCAGCGACACUAUGUGUUGUUGGGUAGGGGAGCGUUCUGUAAGCCUGUGAAGGUGGCCUGUGAGGGUUGCUGGAGGUAUCAGAAGUGCGAAUGCUGACAUAAGUAACGAUAAAGCGGGUGAAAAGCCCGCUCGCCGGAAGACCAAGGGUUCCUGUCCAACGUUAAUCGGGGCAGGGUGAGUCGACCCCUAAGGCGAGGCCGAAAGGCGUAGUCGAUGGGAAACAGGUUAAUAUUCCUGUACUUGGUGUUACUGCGAAGGGGGGACGGAGAAGGCUAUGUUGGCCGGGCGACGGUUGUCCCGGUUUAAGCGUGUAGGCUGGUUUUCCAGGCAAAUCCGGAAAACCAAGGCUGAGGCGUGAUGACGAAGCACUACGGUGCUGAAGCGACAAAUGCCCUGCUUCCAGGAAAAGCCUCUAAGCAUCAGGUAACAUCAAAUCGUACCCCAAACCGACACAGGUGGUCAGGUAGAGAAUACCAAGGCGCUUGAGAGAACUCGGGUGAAGGAACUAGGCAAAAUGGUGCCGUAACUUCGGGAGAAGGCACGCUGAUAUGUAGGUGAAGCGACUUGCUCGUGGAGCUGAAAUCAGUCGAAGAUACCAGCUGGCUGCAACUGUUUAUUAAAAACACAGCACUGUGCAAACACGAAAGUGGACGUAUACGGUGUGACGCCUGCCCGGUGCCGGAAGGUUAAUUGAUGGGGUUAGCGGUAACGCGAAGCUCUUGAUCGAAGCCCCGGUAAACGGCGGCCGUAACUAUAACGGUCCUAAGGUAGCGAAAUUCCUUGUCGGGUAAGUUCCGACCUGCACGAAUGGCGUAAUGAUGGCCAGGCUGUCUCCACCCGAGACUCAGUGAAAUUGAACUCGCUGUGAAGAUGCAGUGUACCCGCGGCAAGACGGAAAGACCCCGUGAACCUUUACUAUAGCUUGACACUGAACAUUGAGCCUUGAUGUGUAGGAUAGGUGGGAGGCUUUGAAGUGUGGACGCCAGUCUGCAUGGAGCCGACCUUGAAAUACCACCCUUUAAUGUUUGAUGUUCUAACGUUGGCCCGUAAUCCGGGUUGCGGACAGUGUCUGGUGGGUAGUUUGACUGGGGCGGUCUCCUCCUAAAGAGUAACGGAGGAGCACGAAGGUUGGCUAAUCCUGGUCGGACAUCAGGAGGUUAGUGCAAUGGCAUAAGCCAGCUUGACUGCGAGCGUGACGGCGCGAGCAGGUGCGAAAGCAGGUCAUAGUGAUCCGGUGGUUCUGAAUGGAAGGGCCAUCGCUCAACGGAUAAAAGGUACUCCGGGGAUAACAGGCUGAUACCGCCCAAGAGUUCAUAUCGACGGCGGUGUUUGGCACCUCGAUGUCGGCUCAUCACAUCCUGGGGCUGAAGUAGGUCCCAAGGGUAUGGCUGUUCGCCAUUUAAAGUGGUACGCGAGCUGGGUUUAGAACGUCGUGAGACAGUUCGGUCCCUAUCUGCCGUGGGCGCUGGAGAACUGAGGGGGGCUGCUCCUAGUACGAGAGGACCGGAGUGGACGCAUCACUGGUGUUCGGGUUGUCAUGCCAAUGGCACUGCCCGGUAGCUAAAUGCGGAAGAGAUAAGUGCUGAAAGCAUCUAAGCACGAAACUUGCCCCGAGAUGAGUUCUCCCUGAGACUUAGAGUCUCCUGAAGGAACGUUGAAGACGACGACGUUGAUAGGCCGGGUGUGUAAGCGCAGCGAUGCGUUGAGCUAACCGGUACUAAUGAACCGUGAGGCUUAACCUUACAACGCCGAAG